rnacentral:rRNA from 1 species
CCCCUAGAUGUUCUGGGCCGCACGCGCGCUACACUGAACAGUUCAACAAGUCUUAACCUUGGCCGAUAGGUCUGGGUAAUCUUUGAACGCUGUUCGUGAUUGGGAUAGACCUUUGCAAUUAUGGGUCUUCAACGAGGAAUUCCUAGUAAACGAAAGUCAUCAGCUUGCAUUGAUUACGUCCCUGCCCUUUGUACACACCGCCCGUCGCACCUACCGAUUGAAUGGUCCGGUGAAAUCUCGGGACGGCGGCUUGGUCGCUUGCGUCCGACUGCUGAAACUUGAUUAAACCAUAUCAUUUAGAGGAAGGUGAANUCGUAACA